CAAGUCUGGAUUUUGACAUUUCGAAGUCGGUUGCGCACCCCCCCGGCUCUUUCCUGUUAAAACUGAACGUAAAUUUUCUCGAAUUUUCCUUCACUUUCUCUGCAACUUCCCGGGAAAAUUUUCCAAUCAGAUGUCGAUUAAGGAAGGUCAGGAAUUCUAUCGUAGUCUUUCAAGGAAAGAGCUUCAAAGUUUGUGCAAGAAAUAUGGGUUGCCUGCUAGGAAGUCAAGUUCUGAAAUGGCUGAAUCAUUGUUCUCUUUCUUUCAGAAGAAUGAUUUAAGUUUGGCAUCCUUAGGCAAGAGCAGAGGUGGGAUCCAAGAGGUUUUACUUUCUCCAUCCUCAGUAACAAACUGCCAGACUGAAGCACCUUUCAGUUUGACAGGAAAUGUAAUAAAAGAUAGUUUUCGACAGAGAUCUUGUCCUAGAGAAGAAGGUAAUAAAGGAAAUAGAAACACUAAAUGCAAUGAAAUGGAAAGCUGUGUGGGACUCGGAGUUUAUGACAAGGAAGCCAUCGGUGGCUCAAUUGAUCAUUUUCAGGGUUCAUCCCUGUCUCAAACCAUUUUACAGAGUGCUGGUGGUGGUGUCAUCCAUAAGGAACCCCCAUCAAGCCUCAGUGGCAGGUUGGAAGAUACUCCCCAGUUUCAUUGUGGACACAUAAAUGUAGGUGUCUGUCCUAUAGAGAAUGCCUCUCCUAAAAUGAGAACUUAUACAAAGGUUCCUGCCUCUUUUGAGUUUUAUGUCAGUUCAGAAGAGGGAAUCAAACUCUGUGUUGAUCUGAAUUCAAGCCCCUCAGACUGGAUUAAGAAAUACAAAAAUCAGGUUUCUUUAACUAUGAAUGUGGACAGUACCAAGUCUCGAAGUAUUCAUCAAGAGCUUGGGUGCAUUAGAGAAAGUGAUAAUACACAAAUAAAAAGUUCCUUUCCUCAAAAUGUAAAUCCUGAUGAAAUUGAGGAUGGCCGUGGACAAGGCAAACCUUCUCCAAGUUUGGUUAUGGAAAAUAAUAUAGGGAUUGAUCAUCCAGAUGGAGGUAAUAAAUCAUCAGCAAUCUUGCUGACAAGACCAUGUAGUGUGGAGGGAUCAGACUGCUUAGGGGAAGAUCAGGGACCUAUCUCAUCUAAACCUAGAUCUAAUGUGCAGAACCAAAUAAUUUCUAAUAUAGAAUCCUUCACUGAGAAUGGGGAUAGUACUAUACUUGAUUCAGAUAUCAUUGAUACUCCAACAGAAAAGACAGCCUGUAAUUUUGCUGUUAACUCCAUAUCCGAUGGCUCAGUAGAUCUUAUUGCAAUUGAGCAUCAGAAUUCAAAGCGAGAUGAUGAAGUUUGUGAGAAUUCAACCCGGCAAAACAAUAGUGAUCUUGAGAAUAAUUGUGUUGUGUUUCCUGGAUUCUUGGCCAGUAGUUCUGCAGAAAUGCAGUUGUCAGAAGCUGGAAAUUACCACAAAGACACAUCAUGUUCACCUAAUAAAAAUGGUGAACUCUUGGACCUAGAUGAUUCAAAGCACAAUAUAGUAAAUGAGCAAGCUGCAUUAGCCAUGUCAAGUGAGAAUGAUCAGUGUGGGAACCAUUCGCCUACAUGCUCUGAAGAGCGGGAAUGGAACAAUAUUGUUAAUAUGAUGGAGAGUUCAGUAUGCUCAGAAGUUGACAACUCAGUUGAGAAAACUUGUUUACAGUCUGAUAAUCUCGAAUCAAAUGAAGAAUUUUGCAGAAAGAGGCCAUUUAUAGACAGUGAGGGUCAAAAUAGCUGCAGUAAACAUGAUGCAAAAAUUUUAAGAAGCAAGAAGCAUUCUGCAGUGGAAGCUCUUCCCAGAAGAUCCAUGCGGCUUGUCUCUAAGGGAUCUACUGAUAGUGACUGACUGGUAAGAUUCGCAAGAGUCCAGCAAUGGUGUUGGGAGAAGAUCUAGUUGCAAACAGUGGCUAGAGGAGGCGCCACGCACUGACACCGUGCCAUUUCUAACGGCGAUCUCCGAGAAGCUAACUUGCCAGCAGCUAGUGCUUCUUUGGGAAUUGGGAUGAGACUUAAAGAUCAAUAUAAAAGGGGGUAAGGCUUUUGAAAUAUAUAUGGGUCUAUGUUUUCAAACCUGACAAAAAAAAAAAGUAGAAAUCAAAUGAGGGACUUUAAACCCUCGGCCAAAAUGAAGUAGAAGAAUAAGAGAGUUGGGUUUCAACCCUUGGCUCUCAAAUCAUGAAGAAGGAGAAGAAAAAAAUAAUGAAUAUUUUGGGACUAAAACCCACAACUUUGGGACUCAAAUCCAGAAGAAGGAAAACAGAUUUUGGGACACGAAUCUGUAACUUUCUGCAGAAGGAGAAGAAUAAGAAAUGAGAAACCCAGAAUUUUCUGAAGGCUCUGAUGCGAUGUAAAGUUUUUAGAAAGAAAGAAGAGAUUGGAGGAAAAUAACAACAGAAUGAUUUAUGUGGUUCUACGACGGAGAGCCUACAUCAGCAGACACAAAACCACAAAGGGACUACAUUUUAUUCAUUUUUGUGUUGUUAAUAUAAUACAUAAGCCUCCGUAUAUAUAAUGGAAGAUGCAUGAUAUAUAUGGUAUGCUAUAAAUAAUAAAUCAAUCCUUAUUUUUGCUAAUCAAUCUUAUGAUUUUAUCAUAAACAUGAGAUUCCAUACAUUAAGGUAAAAUCUCAUCAAUUCCAACAAUUAUGUUAGCUUGAUAAAAUAUACAUGAAAAGACGUCAAGCUAAGGCACAUGUAUCCCACUCUCUUUAAGGAGAUUCAAACUCUUGUUAACUUGUCUUUUAUUAAUGUAGCAGAACUUCUCUUUUAUUGACUUGUCUCCACCGUGAUACAAUAUCUCGACAGUUUCGUCGUGUGGAUGAACCAACUUUGCACUAGAUGUUGAACCCAAAGCUCCACCAAUGGAACACCCUUUUUUGUCUAUAAACACUCUAUAGCUUUUGUAUAAAACUCAUAUGCUUGCACUUAAUGAUAUACGCUAAGAAAAGAAGCUACCUAUAUAUAAGAGCUCAACAUGUCAAUGUAAACACAAGACAUAAAAAGCUCAAGUUAACUUUCAAUUAAUGAACAAAAUUAAGUUUAAUUAAUAAACUUUAAAAACUACAAUAAAUAUUAAAAUGUUACAAUAUCAUGCUUCUUGCAGUCUUAUUAGAAAUAAUUAUGGAUUUCAUUUAAUAUUAUUCUUUUUGCCUAUGUUAGAGGAUUUUUUUUUGUAUUCUGUAGUAAGCAUUAGUUUUUCAUAUUCUUGACAGCACCAAAAUUUUCUCCAGAUUAGUCACACGCUAUAUUA
rnacentral:misc_RNA from 1 species